GCCUAGUUAGCUUAGUUGGUAGUGCGUCUGCCUUGUAAGCGCUACGUCGCGGGUUCGAGUCCCGCCCGGGGCG
rnacentral:tRNA from 1 species